UACGGGGGGGGCAAGCGUUGUUCGGAAUUACUGGGCGUAAAGGGCUCGUAGGCGGCCAACUAAGUCAGACGUGAAAUCCCUCGGCUUAACCGGGGAACUGCGUCUGAUACUGGAUGGCUUGAGUUUGGGAGAGGGAUGCGGAAUUCCAGGUGUAGCGGUGAAAUGCGUAGAUAUCUGGAGGAACACCGGUGGCGAAGGCGGCAUCCUGGACCAACACUGACGCUGAGGCGCGAAAGCCAGGGGAGCAAACGGG
rnacentral:rRNA from 1 species